CCAUGGCGAACAAAUCAAUCCGCGAGUGAAAAACACGCAGGACCCCUACCUGGCGCGCCAACUGUUGGUGUUUUGACCCCGGGGGGGUAACGCCAACGAGUGAAUUUGUGUGUGUGUUCCCUCUCCCAGAUGGUGAUGCAAGAAUGACAUAGUGAUUUAUCCUGGUUCGGGCAAGAGAAGGCCCUACGUCCAGCGGGGGAGGAGAUCUUCUAUUAUCUUGCACGUAAGUGCUUGUACAAGGGUGAAUACAGGCAAAUGUUGCUAAGGAUUCUGAGUCCUAGAUGGUAGUGAUGUAUGGAAGGUUGUUCUACUUGUGUCUCUCUCUGUAUCUCUUCCUCGGUGUCCCCUUUUAUAGUUCCAAGGGGAGACCCUGGUUACAAGUCGUAGGCAAUAGAAUAAGGCUCGAUAGGGGCAUGGCACGCUGACCUACUCGAGGCCUCUGUACCGUCAUGGCUUCGAGCCAUCUUGUUACUGGGUACUUUGGUGAUGAUUGCGCGUGCUUCUGGGUUUGGCUCCUGUACAUCGUCUCGGAUUGGCUUAGGCACGAGCGUGCCUGUACAUCGUGGCAGUGGUCACAUCUAGAGUGGUUGAAGCGCUGACUUUCAUUGCCCGACCCUUCCCUGGGAAGGAACGUAUUCGCUCGAGGGUCUAGUACAGCGGAUGGCGUUGUUGAGCGAUGCGCUGACUUUGGGUGCCUCGAGGGAUGCCGUGAUGUGACAUCUCAGCUUGUCACACUGUGCUAGGUUGUACUCUCGUUUAUUUGGGGGA
rnacentral:lncRNA from 1 species